AGCCCUUGGACGUUAUACUAUCUCAAGAUCAUAAUCAAAUUGUGGCAUUGUUGGAGUAUGUCAGAUAUGAUUUUCUACCGCAAAUUCAGCAGUGCUCUAUCAAAAUCAUGUCUAUUCUGAGUUCUCGCAUGGUUGGGCUCAUACAGUUACUGUUAAAAUCCAAUGCUGCAAGCUGUUUGGUUGAGGAUUAUGCAGCCUGCCUUGAGCUACGUUCAGAAGAGUGCCAAAUUAUAGAGAACAGUGCUAAUGAUCCAGGGGUUUUGAUAAUGCAGCUUCUGAUAGAUAAUAUUGGUAGACCAGCUCCAAAUAUUACACAUUUACUGCUUAAGUUUGAUCUUGACACCCCAGUUGAGCGAACAGUUCUACAGCCAAAAUUUCACUACAGU
rnacentral:misc_RNA from 1 species